rnacentral:rRNA from 1 species
CAAUAGCGUAUAUUUAAGUUGCUGCAGUUAAAAAGCUCGUAGUUGGAUUUCGGGUGGGAAUGGCCGGUCCGCCGUUUCGGUGUGCACUUGCUACGCCCACCUUGCUGCCGGGGACGUGCUCUUGAGUUCACGCUCGGGACACGGAGUCGGCGAGGUUACUUUGAGUAAAUUAGAGUGUUCAAAGCAGGCCUACGCUCUGAAUACAUUAGCAUGGAAUAACACGAUAGGACUCUGGCCUAUCUUGUUGGUCUGUAGGACCGGAGUAAUGAUUAAGAGGGACAGUCGGGGCAUUCGUAUUUCAUUGUCAGAGGUGAAAUUCUUGGAUUUAUGAAAGACGAACUACUGCGAAAGCAUUUGCCAAGGAUGUUUUCAUUAA